rfam:Brachypodium distachyon strain Bd21 chromosome 2, whole genome shotgun sequence.
GAUGUACUCCCUCUGUCCCAUAUUAAGUGUAGCAACUUUGUCUAGGUAUCUAGACGUGUUUUAGUGUGUAGAUACAUGCGUAUGUACACAAAUUUGCGACACUUAAUAUGAGACGGAGGGAGUACAAC